AUACUUACCUGGACGGGGUCGAUGGGUGAUCAAUAAGACUCAUGGCCUAGGCUGGUGGCUUUCAUUGCACUUGGAAGGUGCACUUGCUUAAGGUCUCCUCAAGUGGGAGAGCCUACGUCUUUAUUUAUGGCAGUGGGGGCCUGCGUUCGCGCGACCCCUUC